rnacentral:rRNA from 1 species
UACGUAGGUGGCAAGCGUUGUUCGGAAUAACUGGGCGUAAAGGAUGCGUAGGCGGUUAAACAAGUUAUAUGUUAAAUAUAUAGGCUUAACCUGUAGAAAGCAUAUAAAACUGUUUAACUAGAGUGCAGGAGAGGUAAGUGGAAUUCCUAGUGUAGCGGUGAAAUGCGUAGAGAUUAGGAGGAACACCAGUGGCGAAGGCGGCUUACUGGACGGCAACUGACGCUGAGGCUCGAAAGCGUGGGGAGCAAACAGG